rnacentral:lncRNA from 1 species
ACAUACAACAGAUUCAUUUUUUCUGCACAUGAGUGGUUGCUCUGUGGCUCAAAUAAAUAUAAAGACUCAAUCCUUAGAGUUUUAACGUUGUUGAAAAGUGAAGGUAAUAACUAAAAUACAGAUGCUGUUCUUAGUCUGCGUCACGCCCCAAAUUCGGGACAUAACAUGGCCAAGCUAUCAAGAGUUCAGUCCGUGAUAACACGAAGCCAAUAUUCAUCUUCUUUAAAUAUAAUGACAGAUGCAUUAUAAAUAAAAAUAAAAGUAAUAUUUAAUUUAAAUAUUUAAUUAAAUCAAA